rnacentral:rRNA from 1 species
GACGAACGCUGGCGGCGUGCCUAAUACAUGCAAGUUGAGCGCUGAAGGUUGGUACUUGUACCAACUGGAUGAGCAGCGAACGGGUGAGUAACGCGUGGGGAAUCUGCCUUUGAGCGGGGGACAACAUUUGGAAACGAAUGCUAAUACCGCAUAAAAACUUUAAACACAAGUUUUAAGUUUGAAAGAUGCAAUUGCAUCACUCAAAGAUGAUCCCGCGUUGUAUUAGCUAGUUGGUGAGGUAAAGGCUCACCAAGGCGAUGAUACAUAGCCGACCUGAGAGGGUGAUCGGCGACAUUGGGACUGAGACACGGCCCAAACUCCUACGGGAGGCAGCAGUAGGGAAUCUUCGGCAAUGGACGAAAGUCUGACCGAGCAACGCCGCGUGAGUGAAGAAGGUUUUCGGAUCGUAAAACUCUGUUGGUAGAGAAGAACGUUGGUGAGAGUGGAAAGCUCAUCAAGUGACGGUAACUACCCAGAAAGGGACGGCUAACUACGUG